rnacentral:rRNA from 1 species
UACGUAGGGGGCGAGCGUUGUCCGGAUUUAUUGGGCGUAAAGAGCUCGUAGGCGGUUUGUCGCGUCGUCUGUGAAAACCCACGGCUCAACUGUGGGCUUGCAGUCGAUACGGACAGGCUAGAGUUCGGUAGGGGAGACUGGAAUUCCUGGUGUAGCGGUGAAAUGCGCAGAUAUCAGGAGGAACACCAGUGGCGAAGGCGACUUUCUGGUCUGUAACUGACACUGAGGCGCGAAAGCGUGGGGAGCGAACAGG